rnacentral:rRNA from 1 species
CCUACGGGUGGCAGCAGUGGGGAAUAUUGCACAAUGGGGGAAACCCUGAUGCAGCGACGCCGCGUGAGUGAAGAAGUCUUUCUGUAUGUAAAGCUCUAUCAGCAGGGAAGUAAUCUCGACCUUUGGGUCGCCAGACGGUACCUGACUAAGAAGCCCCGGCUAACUACGGGCCAGCAGCCGCGGUAAUACGUAGGGGGCAAGCGUUAUCCGGAUUUACUGGGUGUAAAGGGAGCGUAGACGGCAGCACAAGUCUGAAGUGAAAUGCCGGGGCUUAACCCCGGAACUGCUUUGGAAACUGUGCAGCUAGAGUGCAGGAGAGGUAAGUGGAAUUCCUAGUGUAGCGGUGAAAUGCGUAGAUAUUAGGAGGAACACCAGUGGCGAAGGCGGCUUACUGGACUGUAACUGACGUUGAGGCUCGAAAGCGUGGGGAGCAAACAGGAUUAGAUAUCCGAGUAGUC